rnacentral:rRNA from 2 species
GAUUUCUGGCUUGAAACAUUUAGCCGGCCACGGUUUCGUGUGUUAGUGCUUGAUGUUCUGGCCAUCCUUCCAAUUGCUAUUCAUCUUUCUUCAUUGAUGGGUGAGUGGUAUUGGAUCUUUUACUUUGAAAAAAUUAGAGUGUUUCAAGCAGGCUUAAUGCUAUGAAUACAUUAGCAUGGAAUAAUAAUUUAGGACUUCGGUUCUAUUUUGUUGGUUUCUAGGACUGAAGUAAUGAUUGAUAGGGAUAGUUGGGGGUGCUAGUAUUCAGCGGCCAGAGGUGAAAUUCUCGGAUUCGCUGAAGACUAACUUAUGCGAAAGCAUU